AAGUAGCAAGGUUAAGCACUUAAGGUGCGGAGCCGUAGCGAAAGCGAGUUUUAACUGAGCGUUCAGUUAUUUGACGUAGACCCGAAACCGGGCGACCUACCCAUGAGCAGGAUGAAGCGAAAGUAAAAUUUCGUGGAGGUCCGAACCCACGAGCGUUGAAAAGCUCGGGGAUGACUUGUGGGUAGCGGUGAAAUUCCAAUCGAGCCCGGAGAUAGCUGGUUCUCCCCGAAAUAGCUUUAGGGCUAGCCUCAAGGUGAGAGAUACGGAGGUAGAGCACUGAAUGUCCUAGGGGGUAUUGCACCUACCGAAGACUAUCAAACUCCGAAUGCCGUCAUCUUAUACUUGGGAGUCAGACUGUGGGUGAUAAGAUUCAUAGUCGAAAGGGCAACAGCCCAGAUCGUCAGCUAAGGUCCCUAAAUGUAAGUUAAGUGGUAAAGGAUGUGGGAUUGCACAGACAACCAGGAUGUUGGCUU
rnacentral:rRNA from 1 species